rnacentral:rRNA from 1 species
UUGUCCUGUGACUGCGUACCUUUUGUAUAAUGGGUCAGCGACUUAUAUUCAGUGGCAAGGUUAACCAUCUAGGGGAGCCGUAGGGAAACCGAGUCUUAACUGGGCGUUCAGUCUCUGGAUAUAGACCCGAAACCAGGUGAUCUAGCCAUGGGCAGGUUGAAGGUUGAGUAACAUCAACUGGAGGACCGAACCGACUAAUGUUGAAAAAUUAGCGGAUGACUUGUGGCUAGGGGUGAAAGGCCAAUCAAACCUGGAGAUAGCUGGUUCUCCCCGAAAGCUAUUUAGGUAGCGCCUCGGACGAAUACUACUGGGGGUAGAGCACUGUUAAGGCUAGGGGGUCAUCCCGACUUACCAACCCUUUGCAAACUCCGAAUACCAGUAAGUACUAUCCGGGAGACACACGGCGGGUGCUAACGUCCGUCGUGGAGAGGGAAACAACCCAGACCGCCAGCUAAGGUCCCAAAUUACUACUAAGUGGGAAACGAUGUGGGAAGGCUCAGACAGCCAGGAUGUUGGCUUAGAAGCAGCCAUCAUUUAAAGAAAGCGUAAUAGCUCACUGGUCGAGUCGGCCUGCGCGGAAGAUGUAACGGGGCUAAGUAGUAAACCGAAGCUGCGGCAAUACUCUUUGAG